UACAGAGGGUGCGAGCGUUAAUCGGAAUUACUGGGCGUAAAGCGUGCGUAGACGGUUAUGUAAGUCGGGUGUGAAAGCCCCGGGCUCAACCUGGGAAUGGCAUUCGAGACUGCAUAGCUAGGAUGCGGAAGAGGGAAGCGGAAUUUCCGGUGUAGCGGUGAAAUGCGUAGAUAUCGGAAGGAACAUCAGUGGCGAAAGCGGCUUCCUGGUCCAGCAUCGACGUUCAGGCACGAAAGCGUGGGGAGCAAACAGG
rnacentral:rRNA from 1 species